rnacentral:rRNA from 1 species
AGCGAACGCUGGCGGCAGGCCUAACACAUGCAAGUCGAACGAACCUUUCGGGGUUAGUGGCGGACGGGUGAGUAACACGUGGGAACGUGCCUUUAGGUUCGGAAUAACUCAGGGAAACUUGUGCUAAUACCGAAUGUGCCCCUCGGGGGAAAGAUUUAUCGCCUUUAGAGCGGCCCGCGUCUGAUUAGCUAGUUGGUUGAGGGAAUGGCCCACCAAGGCGACGAUCAGUAGCUGGUCUGAGAGGAUGGUCAGCCACAUUGAGACUGAGACACGGCCCGAACUCCUACGGGAGGCAGCAGUGGGGAAUCUUGCGCAAUGGGCGAGAGCAUGACGCAGCCAUGCCGCGUGAAUGAUGAAGGUCUUAGGGUUGUAAAAUUCUUUCACCGGGGACGAUAAUGACGGUACCCGGAGAAGAAGCCCCGGCUAACUUCGUG